UGGAUGCGCGCUGAGUGCCACGUCUUCAUCGCUGUAUCGUCAUUUACUGUGUCCUCAAACUGGUCAAGAGGCGCAACAUCGGCAACUCAAGAACUGGUACUGCUGAUGUCAGUUCUGAAACUGAGAUAUCGACUUCGAGCUAUCGUCGUGCCGAUGGGUUGAUAUAUGGAGAGCUAGACUUCGCUGACAGAACAUCACCUGAUGUUAUCAUCGGCUCCUUGCCCAAUACACAAUAUGCUCAAAAUCGAAUUUGC